rnacentral:rRNA from 1 species
UGGGGAAUAUUGCACAAUGGGCGCAAGCCUGAUGCAGCCAUGCCGCGUGUGUGAAGAAGGCCUUCGGGUUGUAAAGCACUUUCAGCGGGGAGGAAGGCGAUAAGGUUAAUAACCUCAUCGAUUGACGUUACCCGCAGAAGAAGCACCGGCUAACUCCGUGCCAGCAGCCGCGGUAAUACGGAGGGUGCAAGCGAUAAUCGGAAUUACUGGGCGUAAAGCGCACGCAGGCGGUCUGUCAAGUCGGAUGUGAAAUCCCCGGGCUCAACCUGGGAACUGCAUUCGAAACUGGCAGGCUAGAGACUUGUAGAGGAGGGUAGAAUUCCAGGUGUAGCGGUGAAAUGCGUAGAGAUCUGGAGGAAUACCGGUGGCGAAGGCGGCCCCCUGGACAAAGACUGACGCUCAGGUGCGAAAGCGUGGGGAGCAAACAGG